AGGUGCUGAAGUGCAAACCCCAUGCAUUAGUACCAAGAAAAAGAAAUGGGAAACACUAAGUACAGGUUAGAGAUAAGUGCCUCAUGUAUUUUAAGGUAUUAACCAGUUUAAUAUUAAACCCUGUUAUAACCCCUGCUAUCUUUAUGCCACGUUUAUUUCAGGUGAUGAUGUUGUGCCAAGUACUACUUUAUCUGCACAUUUUGCAUCAAAGCAAUGGUCUGUCCAAGAUCUCGAGGGCUACUGCUACCUAGUGGCAAGGCUACAUGAAGGCUGCAUGAGUGAAAAGAGGUGUCCUCUGUGGCUAGAAACAGGUAGAAUUCCCAGAUGAGGUAUUUUAAAGUCUUAUGUAGCAGAAACAGUAGGCACAAGAAGCUCGUUGCCAGAAAGGAAGUCUGGACUGACUGACAAGAUCCCACAUCUAGUAAAUAACAGUUGCAGUGUUUUGAAGAUGUUAAGACAGAUCUGAAAAAUUUAAAACAUACCUGAUUCCAGCCUUCCUGGACAGUCUGGAUCUG